GUGCCACACAGUGCAAGAAGGAAAAAACACCACAUUUGUGGAAGGUGUAUUUAAAAAUCAUCCCUAUGUGUCAGUCAGAGUCUAAGAAAGCCGUUUCUUGUCCUGUAUCCAACUCAUAUACAAUGUACUGAACAGCUUCCCACAAGGAUUUUCUGUUUAAAAUAUUAGGAAAUGUUAAGGAAAGAUUAAAAAUCAAGCGUUGAGACAAACUCAUGUACUUCCAAAGAGCAAAAAAUCAGACAGACUACAGGUGCUUGUUCUGCCAGUUGCUCUUUCUUCAGAUGGUGAUCUCAGAAAACUUGGAAGUGCUGCUCAUUUUAGCUGACACAAGAUUCAGUGCUUUUUGAGUUGUAUCUAUGCUCAACAAUUCUUAAUGUUUGAAAUGGAUAAAAGAUAUUUCCUGAUGAAUCAUCAAAUAAAUUUAGCUUAAGAUUUGCCA
rnacentral:lncRNA from 1 species